rnacentral:rRNA from 1 species
AGCAGCCGCGGUAAUUCCAGCUCCAAUAGCGUAUAUUAAAGUUGUUGCAGUUAAAAAGCUCGUAGUUGAAUUUCGAGACCGGCUUACUGGUCGUGCUAUUGUACGUACUGGUAUAAUCGGUUUCUCCUUUCUGACGAACUAUAAUGCCAUUAAUUUGGUGUUAUAGGGAAUCAGGACUGUUACUUUGAAAAAAUUAGAGUGUUUAAAGCAGGCUCACGCUUGAAUACAUUAGCAUGGAAUAACGGAAUAGGACGUUUGAUUCUAUUUUGUUGGUUUCUAGGAUCGACGUAAUGAUUAAUAGGGAUAGUUGGGGGCAUUAGUAUUCAAUUGUCAGAGGUGAAAUUCUUGGAUUUAUUGAAGACUAACUACUGCGAAAGCAUUUUGCCAAGGAUGUUUUCAUUAAUCAAGAACGAAAGUUAGGGAUCGAAGACGAUCAGAUACCGUCGUAGUCUUAACCAUAAACUAUGCCGACUAGGGAUCGGAUGAUGUUAAUUUUUUCAAUGACUCAUUCGGCGCCUUA